GAGUUUGAUCAUGGCUCAGGAUGAACGCUAGCGGCAGGCCUAACACAUGCAAGUCGAGGGGUAGUUGUCUUCGGACAAUGAGACCGGCGCACGGGUGCGUAACGCGUAUGCAAUCUACCUUUUGCAGGGGAAUAGCCCAGAGAAAUUUGGAUUAAUGCUCCAUAGUAUAAUGAGUUGGCAUCAACAUAUUAUUAAAGUCACAACGGCAAAAGAUGAGCAUGCGUCCCAUUAGUUAGUUGGUAAGGUAACGGCUUACCAAGACGAUGAUGGGUAGGGGUCCUGAGAGGGAGAUCCCCCACACUGGUACUGAGACACGGACCAGACUCCUACGGGAGGCAGCAGUGAGGAAUAUUGGACAAUGGGCGCAAGCCUGAUCCAGCCAUGCCGCGUGCAAGAAGAAGCAUCUAUGGUGUGUAAACUGCUUUUGUACAG
rnacentral:rRNA from 1 species